rnacentral:rRNA from 1 species
GACGAACGCUGGCGGCGUGCUUAACACAUGCAAGUCGAACGGAAAGGCCCUGCUUUUGUGGGGUGCUCGAGUGGCGAACGGGUGAGUAACACGUGAGUAACCUGCCCUUGACUUUGGGAUAACUUCAGGAAACUGCGGCUAAUACCGGAUAGGAGCUCCUGCUGCAUGGUGGGGGUUGGAAAGUUUCGGCGGUUGGGGAUGGACUCGCGGCUUAUCAGCUUGUUGGUGGGGUAGUGGCUUACCAAGGCUUUGACGGGUAGCCGGCCUGAGAGGGUGACCGGCCACCAUGGGACUGAGAUACGGCCCAGACUCCUACGGGAGGCAGCAGGGGGGAAUAUUGCACAAUGGGCGGAAGCCUGAUGCAGCAACGCCGCGUGCGGGAUGACGGCCUUCGGGUUGUAAACCGCUUUCGCCUGUGACGAAGCGUGAGUGACGGUAAUGGGUAAAGAAGCACCGGCUAACUACGUG